rnacentral:lncRNA from 1 species
AAUGAUCCCUCAUUGACAGCCAUCAAGAAAACGGGGACCUCGCUCCUACAACUAUAAGGAAAUGAAUUCUGCCAACAACCAGUGAGAUGGAGAGGACCCCAUGUCCCAGAGGAGACCUCAGCCCUGGCUGGCACCUUGAUUUCAGCCCUCUGAGGCCCCAAGAAGAGAAUCCAGCCACACUAUGCCUGGAUUUUUGACCUACAGAAACUUUUGAACAGGGGACCCUGCUGUCUCCCCUGUGACAUCGGCCCAGAACAAGUCCAGCUGCUGAUUGCCUGGCGGGACCCAAAAGUGCGAGUGUCACAGAAAGCAUUGAGGACUAGGCCUACAGCUCUCCCCUGUGAUGAGGCGCUGAGGGUUGGCAGCCCUUUGGCCCUUGAGGAAGAUGAGAAAGUGCGUGACUCAGAAUGUCAGAACAGGCAGUGCCCUUUGAAUCACAACAUCGACUUUGCCUUCUUACAAACAGGGCCGCUGAGCACAAGAGCAAGCAAGUGCCUUCCUCACUGUCAUAGAGCGUCUCGUGAGUGGCAGAGUCAAGACAACAACCCAGGUCCCUGGACUCCCAGGUU